rnacentral:rRNA from 1 species
GGGUUGUGAGGUUAAGCGACUAAGCGUACACGGUGGAUGCCCUGGCAGUCAGAGGCGAUGAAGGGCGUGCUAAUCUGCGAUAAGCGCCGGUAAGGUGAUAUGAACCGUUAUAACCGGCGAUACCCGAAUGGGGAAACCCAGUGUGACUCGUCACACUAUCAUUAACUGAAUCCAUAGGUUAAUGAGGCGAACCGGGGGAACUGAAACAUCUAAGUACCCCGAGGAAAAGAAAUCAACCGAGAUUCCCCCAGUAGCGGCGAGCGAACGGGGAGGAGCCCAGAGCCUGAAUCAGCAUGUGUGUUAGUGGAAGCGUCUGGAAAGGCGCGCGAUACAGGGUGACAGCCCCGUACACAAAAGCGCAUGUGCUGUGAGCUCGAUGAGUAGGGCGGGACACGUGGUAUCCUGUCUGAAUAUGGGGGGACCAUCCUCCAAGGCUAAAUACUCCUGACUGACCGAUAGUGAACCAGUACCGUGAGGGAAAGGCGAAAAGAACCCCGGCGAGGGGAGUGAAAAAGAACCUGAAACCGUGUACGUACAAGCAGUGGGAGCCCCACCACCAAAGCAUUCUCUGGUGUUGAAGGCCCUGCAAAGCAGCAUCGCGGUGGCGGAGCGUCGUUUGCGACGCCCAACACACAAAACAAGCGGUGAGUGCUUUGGGGUGGGGUGACUGCGUACCUUUUGUAUAAUGGGUCAGCGACUUAUAUUCUGUAGCAAGGUUAACCGAAUAGGGGAGCCGGAGGGAAACCGAGUCUUAAUUGGGCGUUAAGUUGCAGGGUAUAGACCCGAAACCCGGUGAUCUAGCCAUGGGCAGGUUGAAGGUUGGGUAACACUAACUGGAGGACCGAACCGACUAAUGUUGAAAAAUUAGCGGAUGACCUGUGGCUGGGGGUGAAAGGCCAAUCAAACCGGGAGAUAGCUGGUUCUCCCCGAAAGCUAUUUAGGUAGCGCCUCGUGAACUCAUCUCCGGGGGUAGAGCACUGUUUCGGCUAGGGGGCCAUCCCGGCUUACCAACCCGAUGCAAACUGCGAAUACCGGAGAAUGUUAUCACGGGAGACACACGGCGGGUGCUAACGUCCGUCGUGAAGAGGGAAACAACCCAGACCGCCAGCUAAGGUCCCAAAGUCAUGGUUAAGUGGGAAACGAUGUGGGAAGGCCCAGACAGCCAGGAUGUUGGCUUAGAAGCAGCCAUCAUUUAAAGAAAGCGUAAUAGCUCACUGGUCGAGUCGGCCUGCGCGGAAGAUGUAACGGGGCUAAACCAUGCACCGAAGCUGCGGCAGCGAACGUAUCACCCAAGACAACUUUGCGGAGUUGACGAUUGACGGAGCGAAGCGACGUCAAAGCGUUCAUUAAAGUCGAGUUGGCUUAGGGAUACGUUCGUUGGGUAGGGGAGCGUUCUGUAAGCCAGUGAAGGUGUGUCGUGAGGCAUGCUGGAGGUAUCAGAAGUGCGAAUGCUGACAUAAGUAACGAUAAAGCGGGUGAAAAGCCCGCUCGCCGGAAGACCAAGGGUUCCUGUCCAACGUUAAUCGGGGCAGGGUGAGUCGACCCCUAAGGCGAGGCCGAAAGGCGUAGUCGAUGGGAAACGGGUUAAUAUUCCCGUACUUGGUGUUACUGCGAAGGGGGGACGGAGAAGGCUAUGUUGGCCGGGCGACGGUUGUCCCGGUUUAAGCGUGUAGGCUGGUUUUCCAGGCAAAUCCGGAAAAUCAAG